GCUUUCAGCUACCACUUACAGAUGGGCCCGCGGCGCAUUAGCUAGUUGGUGAGGUAACGGCUCACCAAGGCGACGAUGCGUAGCCGACCUGAGAGGGUGAUCGGCCACACUGGGACUGAGACACGGCCCAGACUCCUACGGGAGGCAGCAGUAGGGAAUCUUCCGCAAUGGACGAAAGUCUGACGGAGCAACGCCGCGUGAGUGAUGAAGGUUUUCGGAUCGUAAAACUCUGUUGUUAAGGAAGAACAAGUACCGUUCGAAUAGGGCGGCACCUUGACGGUACCUAACCAGAAAGCCACGGCUAACUACGUGCCAGCAGCCGCGGUAAUACGUAGGUGGCAAGCGUUGUCCGGAAUUAUUGGGCGUAAAGCGCGCGCAGGCGGUUUCUUAAGUCUGAUGUGAAAGCCCCCGGCUCAACCGGGGAGGGUCAUUGGAAACUGGGGAACUUGAGUGCAGAAGAGGAGAGUGGAUUCCACGUGUAGCGGUGAAUGCGUAGAGAUGUGGAGGAACACCAGUGGCGAAGGCGACUCUCUGGUUUCUGUAACUGACGCUGA
rnacentral:rRNA from 1 species